AUGCAAAUCACAUUAGGACUUGAUAGAGCUAUAGCCACAGUAAAAAAAUUUAAAGGUGAUGCAACAAUGAGUAAAACUGUACAAGUAAUAUGGAAAUAUAUCCCUGAAGCACGAACAUGUGCAUUGGUCAUUGAAGGGCUGGAGGGAGAAGAGUUGACACCACAAGAAGAAACUUGUGGAGUACUACAGACUAAGGAGAAGGUAAACCAAAAGGAAAGACACUGGAAGCAAGGGAGGGCAAACAAAAGAGCACAUCCAAUGGAUAGGGGCAUAGGGCGCAUAACAUCAGUAGAUAAAACAAGCAAAAUGUUAUUAGUGAUGAAAGCAGUUUCUAAGAUGCGAUUUUGA
rnacentral:rRNA from 1 species